UGGCUCUCUUAAAAAGCUUGGUUUCUGAAUGUCCUCUCUCAGGACACUCCCUUUCUGAACACAGUCACUGUGCUGUGAGGAAGCUCAAGCCCAGUCUCUGACCUGAAGAGGCUACAUGUCAGAACUCUUAUCAGCGGUCUCAGCUGAGCCCAGAUUUCUAGUCUUCUCAGACCACACGCCUGAUAUAUGAGCGAAGCAGCCUCUGGAUGACUCCAUUCUCUUGCUGUUUGAGCUCUCCCUAGGUACUUGAGGGAGGUCUUCUCUAUAGCCUUAGACAUGACAGAGCUGAGACAAACCACUCUCACUAUAUCCAAAUUCCUGACCCUCAGAAUUGUGGGCUUGACAAAGUGGUGGUAGUUUUACCACCUUGGAUAGUUUGUUGCUCAGAAGUAGCAGCUGGAACAAUAGGUGUUUCCAAGUUUGGUGCAACAGUGGAUCAGCACCAUCAAGAACAUAGGUUAUUCGGCAUUCCCAUCAUGGUGCAGCGGAAAUGAAUCCAACUGGGAACCAUGAGGAUGUGGGUUCCAUCCCUGGCCUUGCUCAGUGGGUUGAAGAUCUGGUGUUGCCAUGAGCUGUGGUGUAGUUUGCAUACAUGGCUUGGAUCUGGUGUUGCUAUAGCUGUGGUGUAGGCUGGCAGCUGCAUCUCCAAUUCGACCCUUAACCUGGGAGCCUCCAUACGCAGGGGAUACAGCCCUAGGGAAAAAAAAAAAAGCAAAAAAUAAAAAAGUUGUUUCUCUCUUUCUUCUCUGCUACCUUUAGCACAUUUUGGUGUCACCUUCCACAGGCACAGGGUGACACCACAAUUUCAGAUGUUUCACUUAAGGCAACAAACUCUCAAGAAUGAAGGAGGUAAGCAGGGGACUUUUGUCUCGUACCAGUUUUGUCAAGGAGGAGAAUUUUCUCCAGAAUUCCUUUGAUAGACUUCCCUUUAUAUCUCAUUGACCAGAGCUCAUUUUUAUGCUCAACUUUAGACUAAUAAAAGACAAAGGAGUUCCCAUUGUGGCUCAGGGUUUAAGAACCCUACUUGUAUCCUUGAGGAUGCAGGUUUGAUCCCUGGCCUUGCUCAUGGGUUUAGGAUCCAGCAUUGCCACAAGCUAUAGUGUAGACCACAGAUGAGGCUUUGAUCUGGCAUUGCUGUGGCUGUGACUGUGACUGUGGCUGGCAGCUGCAGCUCUGGUUUGACCCCUGGGCCUGGGAACUUCCAUAUGCUACAAGUGCAGUCCUAUAAAGUAAAACAAAAAACAAACAAAUAAUAAACAGAGACAAAGAAAAACGGACUUCUUAAUAUUGGUUUAAAUCAUGUACUUUUAGAAGUUCCCAUCAUGGUACAUAGGAAACAAAUCUAACUAGUGUCUGUGAGGUUGUGGGUUUGAUCCCUGGCCUUGCUCAGUGGGUUAAGUAUCUGGCAUUGCCAUGAGCUGUGGUGUAGGUCGCAUACAUGGCUCGGACCUGUCAUUGCUGUAGCUGUAGCGUAGGCUGGUGGAUACAGCUCUGAUUAGAUCCCUGGCCUGGGAACCUCCAUAUGCCAUGGGUGUGGCCCUAAAAAGACAAAAAAAAUUAAUUAAUUAAUUAAUUAAUCAUGCACAUUUAAACCACUCAAGGAUUUUUUUAAAUAAAUAAUCUCAAGCUUAACUCCCAACCAAUGAAAGGAGAGCUUAACCAUGUGAUCAUGCAAUCAUAGCUGAGAAUCAUUGGUCUGUGGACCAAUGGUAUCAGCAUCACCUGAGAGCUUCAGUCUCCUCCUAUGAAAUAAAAAUCUGUAUUUUAUCAGGAUCUGCAGUUUAUUUGUAUGUACAUGAAAGUUUGAAAAGCACUGGUUUAAACAAACUGUAAUUUAUCCUCUGGGGCUAGAUGUCAGCCCCCGGAGCUAAACAAAGUCAAUGUUCUAAUGUACAGAAAAAGGGAAAUGACUCUUGGGAAAGAAAUCAACAGUGUCUACUAUAGGAGCCUGCAUUGAGUUAUUUUGCCUCCUCCACAAUUCCCUGAGGCAUCUCCCUAGGAGAUUGUCUCCUUAAAACACAGCUUUAAAAAUCAUACAAUUACUGCCUUUAUCACAAUACAUAAAACCAAGCUUAAAUCAAUUGUGCAGCCCCUCCAUGGCUGAUUGGUCACUGCUCCUUUGUACACCUCUCUUGGAGUAUAUUCUUGGUCUUACUGUCCUAAACUUUCCUCUUUUUUUGCAUAAUCCAAGGUUUGCUUUACUAAAGUGUGUUGGCUCCCUGACUAUACAGUUUUGAUUGUCCUAGUGUUCAUACAUACUAACUAGAGCCGCUGAGUACCAGCCUUGAACCCUUAACAUUCCUAAACUUUGAAUGAGGUCAUGUAUUCAUUUAGCAAACAUUAAUUGAAUACAUGCUAUAAGCUGGACAUUUUGCUGGGUGAGGACAAAGGCAGGAGGAAGUUUAGAAGAGGAAGGAAAUGAAAAUAAUGCAACGUGUCCACAUUUUCAAGAUGCUUAAAAGCUAACGGGAAGGAGCUUUGAGGAAACAGACUGAUAUUAGAUAAUUGUAGCAAGGUUCCAAACCAAUGGUUCUCAAAUACUAUAUGUGGAUCCUUGUAACAUGGUAGGUUGAAGACAAGGGUAAGCACUUGGACUCAGAAAUCAGACUGACUUGGUUUCAUAUCUCAGCUCUAGCACUUUGUGGUUGGAUUACAUUAAACAAGGUUAUUGAACCUCUCAGGGUCUACUUCCUUCUCUGUAAAAUAAGAGAAUUAAAACCCACUUCCUAUAGUUCCCAUUGUGGCUCAGUGGAAAUGAGCCCAACUAGUAUUCAUGAAGAUGUAGGUUGGAUCCCUGGCCUCACUCAGUGGGUUAAGGAUCCAGCAUUGCUGUGAGCAAUGGGAUAGGUCACAGAUGUGGCUCAGAUGGAUCUGACAUCGCUGUGGCUGUGGCUGUGCCUGGCAGCUGCAGCUUUGAUUCAACCUCCAGCCUGCGAACUUGUGUAUGCCCAGGAAGUGGCCCUUAAAAAAAAAAAAAAAAAGAUAAAGAAAAA
rnacentral:lncRNA from 1 species